CACGUAGGGGGCAAGCGUUGUCCGGAAUCAUUGGGCGUAAAGAGCUCGUAGGCGGCUCAAUAAGUCGGGUGUGAAACCCCCAGGCUCAACCUGGGGACGCCACCCGAUACUGUUGUGGCUAGAGUCCAGUAGGGGAGUGUGGAAUUCCCGGUGUAGCGGUGAAAUGCGCAGAUAUCGGGAGGAACACCAGCGGCGAAGGCGGCAUCCUGGACCAACACUGACGCUGAGGAGCGAAAGCCAGGGGAGCAAACGGG
rnacentral:rRNA from 1 species